rnacentral:rRNA from 1 species
AGUGGCGAACGGGUGAGUAACGCGUUGGUGACCUGCCCCGAAGUGUGGAAUAACAGAUCGAAAGAGCUGCCAAUACCGCAUAAUAUCCAGGAGAUUAGAUGCUUCUGGAUUAAAGGAUUUAUCCGCUUCGGGAGGGGCCUGCGUCCCAUCAGCUAGUUGGUAAGGUAAAGGCUUACCAAGGCGAUGACGGGUAGGGGACCUGAGAGGGUGGCCCCCCACAAUGGAACUGAAACACGGUCCAUACACCUACGGGUGGCAGCAGUAGGGAAUAUUAGUAAUGGGCGAAAGCCUGAACUAGCAACGCCGCGUGUGCGAAGAAGGCCUUCGGGUUGUAAAGCACUUUUUGAGAGGAUGAGGAAGGACGGUACUCUCAGAAUAAGUCUCGGCUAACUACGUGCCAGCAGCCGCGGUAACACGUAGGAGGCAAACGUUAUCCGGAUUUACUGGGCGUAAAGCGCGUGUAGGUGGUUUGGUAAGUAGGGCGUGAAAGCUCCUGGCUCAACUGGGAGAGGCCGUUCUAAACUGCCGAACUAGAGGAUGGUAGAGGGAGGUGGAAUUCCGGGUGUAGCGGUGGAAUGCGCAGAUAUCCGGAGGAACACCAGUGGCGAAAGCGGCCUCCUGGACCAUUCCUGACACUCAGACGCGAAAGCUAGGGUAGCAAACGGGAUUAGAGACCCCGGUAGUCCUAGCCCUAAACGAUGUAGACUAGGCGUCGGGUGGUUUAAACGCCAUCGGUGUCCAAGCGAACGCGAUAAGUCUACCCGCCUGGGGACUACGGCCGCAAGGUUAAAACUCAAAGGAAUUGACGGGUCCCCGCACAAGCAGCGGAGCGUGUGGUUUAAUUCGUUGCUACACGAAGAACCUUACCUGGGUUUGACACAGCAGUGGUAGGGAAGCGAAAGCAGACCGACCCCUCGGGGAGCUGUUACAGGUGUUGCAUGGCUGUCGUCAGCUCGUGUCGUGAGAUGUUGGGUUAAGUCCCGUAACGAGCGCAACCCUUGUCCUUAGUUACCAGCACGUUAUGGUGGGCACUCUAAGGAGACUGCCGGUGACAAACCGGAGGAAGGUGGGGAUGACGUCAAGUCAUCAUGGCCCUUACGGCCUGGGCUACACACGUGCUGCAAUGGUCGGUACAGAGGGUUGCCAAGCCGCGAGGUGGAGCUAAUCCCAGAAAACCGAUCGUAGUCCGGAUCGCAGUCUGCAACUCGACUGCGUGAAGUCGGAAUCGCUAGUAAUCGCGAAUCAGAAUGUCGCGGUGAAUACGUUCCCGGGCCUUGCACUCACCGCCCGUCA